GCGUCGGUAGUGCAACGGUCCAGCACGCGUUCCCGUAUAGAAUAAAAUGUGGGUUCGAGUCCCACCUGACGCA